rnacentral:rRNA from 1 species
ACGCGCUGAACUUAAGCAUAUCACUAAGCGCAGGGAACCGAAAAUAACUAUGAGUGCCUCAGUAACGGCGAGUGAAGCGGCACGGGCCCAAGAUGAAAAGUCCCGUCCUUCGGGCGUGGACAUUGUAAUCUUUCGGGUGCCACUGACCAGCUCUCUGAAGCCCAAAUUCCCAGGAACGGGAUGCCAUGGAGGGUGAAAGCCCCGUACGGCUUCGGAGGAAAGCAGGUGGCCCUUUUCGAGUCGAGUUGUUUGGUACUGCAGCUCUAAGCGGGAGGUAGAACUCUUCCAGGCUACUUAACAGCGAUGAGAGACCGAUAGCGAACAAGUACUGUGAAGGAAAGAUGAAAAUAUUUAAGAACUUCAAAAACAAAGAAUUAAACAGACCUGAAACCGUGGAGUGGAAGCGAUAGGAACUUAUCAUUUGGCUCCGAGCUGUCUAAGCGGCGACGGCAUGUCCGGUGGAGGCAACCGCGAGGGGCCUUGCCGUGCUUGCGUAGCUGCGCGUCUGCUCCCUGCCAACAGGCAAGAUGGGUUUCCGUUCGCAUCAUGGCGCCAGGGGGGUCCCUCACGGGGCUCCUCGGGACUGCUGUUGCGACGGAGGCUGAGGGUGCUUUGCGAUCUUGCCAAAUUUUAAAUUCUUUUUCCUACCGACCCGUCUUGAAACACGGACCAAGGAGUCUAACAUAUACGCGAUUAUGUUGGUGGAGAAACCAGCGUGAGUAAUGAAAGUGAGCGGUGCCAAUACCCAUGCAGCAUCGGCGGAUUCUGAUCCUUUGGUGACGAGAUCCAGUAUGAGCGUAUCUGUUAGGACCCGAAAGAUGGUGAACUAUGCUUGAGUAGGGUGAAGCCAGGGGAAACCCUUGUGGAAGCCCGAAGCGAUACUGACGUGCAAAUCGUUCGUCAAACUUGAGUAUAGGUGGCGAAAGACUAAUCGAACCAUCUAGUAGCUGGUUCCCUCCGAAGUUUCUCUCAGGAUAGCAAGGACAGCGUAGCAGGGUUUCGUAUGAGGUAAAGCAAUGAUUAGAAGACUCGGGGAGUAUAUAUUCUCGACUUAUUUCUCAAACUUAAAAUUCGUAAUCGCCCGGUAUUUCUUAAGUGAACACCGGGGCAGCCUGCUUGUCCUUAGUGGGCCAUUUUUGGUAAGCAGAACUGGCGAUGAGGGAUGAACCUAACGUCGAGUUAACGUGCCCAACUUGCACGCGCAUCAGAUACCACGAAAAGGAUUUGAUUCAUUUUGACAGCAGGACGGUGGCCAUGGAAGUCGGAAUCCGCUAAGGAGUGUGUAACAACUCACCUGCCGAAUGAAUUAGGCCUGAAAAUUGAUGGCGCUCCAGCGUGUGACGGAUACUCGACCAUUGCAGCGACAGUGUGGCUGGAAUGAGUAGGAGGGCGUGGGCGUCUUGCCGAAGCCUUGGGCGUGAGCCUGGGUCGAAAGGCGUCUAGCGCAGAUCUUGGUGGUAGUAGCAAUUAUUCAAAUGAGAACUUUGAAGGCCGACGUGGAGAAGGUUUCCAUGAGAACAGCAAUUGGUCAUGGGUGACUCGGUCCUAAGAUAUUGGAUAAUACCCUGAAAUUGAGCUUCGGCUCGCUAUCGAAAGGGAAUGAGGUUAAUAUUCCUCAAGCUGGAAAUGGAUGUCACGGCAACGUUUGUGAGCUCGGCGACGCCAGCGCGUGCCUCUGAAAGAGUUAUCUUUUCUUUCUCAAACAGGGAAGCGACCCUGAAAUCGGAUUACCCGGAGCUGAGGGUUGCAAACCUGGAAUAGUGUCUUCAUUAUCUAAUAAAUACAUAAGAAGCGCUCGCGAUGGCCCUUGAACAAGCCGAGUGAGGUAAUUUAUUCCAUUCCAGGCCGUACCAAUAACCGCAUC